rnacentral:sRNA from 1 species
CAAUAACCGCUGCGCUAUUCCAAAACUGUUUAAAAAACGUACAGAAGCAGCUGGACGCACGGUAAUCCUGACCAAUACUUAGAAAGUUGGCGCGACAUCUCCCCCCAAGUGACGCGCCAGUAAAGGUGCCGAUGGAUAGCGCACCUUUGUUUUACUCCUAAUGGUCUUAACCCGGAUUCACCCCCCAGAACCCGG